rnacentral:tRNA from 1 species
GGAGGUGUCUGGGCGCCUGGUGGCCCCCACGAUCUUCAAAAUCGUUGAGGUCGAGAAUCUCGGCCUGGCGGGUUCGAUUCCCGUCCGCCUCCGC